CUCGACAAACGACCCAAGUCCACCUCUUUCAAACCAGCGAACGAAAUAGUCAAAUUCCAGGUCCACCCAACGGACCCUACAAAAACAACAUCCAUUGGUGCACAGCUGAACCCCACAAUAGACGUCGCACUGCGAGAGUUCUUGCGUGAGAAUUGGGACAUCUUCGCCUGGCAUCCUUCAGACAAGCCAGGUAUCCCACGCAGGCUGGCCGAACAUAGCCUAAACAUACUGAAGGGAUACAAGCCGGUCAAGCAGACUCUUUGGCGCUUUUUAGAACCUAAGCGACAAGCCAUGGGAGAAGAGCUAGCCAAGUUACCUGAGGCCGGAUUCAUCAGAGAAAUAAAACAUCCGGACUGGCUAGCAAACCUA
rnacentral:rRNA from 1 species